rnacentral:lncRNA from 1 species
CAACUGAGCACCUUGUGAUCCCCGCCCCUGCCAGCCAGAGAACAACCCCCUUUGACUGUAAUUUUCCUUUACCUACCCAAAUCCUAUAAAACAGCCCCACCCCAUCUCCCUUCACUGACUCUCUUUUGAGACUCAGCCUGCCUGCACCCAGGUGAUUAAAAAGCUUUAUUGCUCACACAAAGCCUGUUUGGCGGUCUCUUCACACGGAUGUGAGUGAAAUUUGGUCCCGAAAUUUGGUGCCGUGACUCGGAUCAGGGGCGUGGGGGGGUGGGGACCUCCCUUGGGAGAUCAAUCCCCUGUCCUCCUGCUCUUUGCUCCGUGAGAAAGAUCUACUUACGACCUCUGGUCCUCAGACCAACCAGCCCAAGGAACAUCUCACCAAUUUUAAAUCGGGGGGGAAACACUGUGGACUGGCAUGCUGCUGGCCACCACUUCCCAGCUGAAGACUCAGGAGCGCCAUGUGGAAGAACUCAUCUCACAGAUAUUGGCAAAAGCUACCAAGCAGGACUUGAUUUAUUGUUUUGUUCAUUGUCUAGACUAAGAAAGUGAUGAAAUGUUAAUAAUGGAUAAUGAUUAAUGAAAUGGAUAAUGAAAAUGAAAAAUAAUUAAUGUAAAUUAAAUGUGAAAGUGUGUCCUACUUGUAGCUGUUAUACUGUGAAUAACUUUAAGAAGAAACCUUAGUAAAUAUUCCUCCAGUUUUCAAAAAUUAUUUUCUAGUUCGGCAAAGAAGUCAUUCACAUCACUGAUAAAUGAAUGAAGUUCUAACAGAUGUCUUUAUUGAUUCACUUUUAUUUUAUUUGUUAACAUAAAUGAAAAUACAGGUGAUGUUCAUGUCAGAACACUUUCAUCAAAUGCAACCACAGUUUGGCUAUGAAUAUAGAAGCCUGGCAAAAAUCAAUAAAAGCAGUCUGUGAGAAUCAAUUGAUUAUAAGGAAUUUCCAAUAAAGAAUAUUAUAUAUGUUGUUACUUGUAAAUAGCAUGAUAUACCUUCUUUAUAUCAGAAAAGUUUAUAAUAAAGUUAUGUGUGUAUGUAUAUA